rnacentral:rRNA from 1 species
UACAGAGGGUGCAAGCGUUGUUCGGAAUUAUUGGGCGUAAAGCGCGUGUAGGCGGCUUUGCAAGUCGGGUGUGAAAGCCCUCAGCUUAACUGAGGAAGUGCGCCCGAAACUGCAGAGCUUGAAUACCGGAGAGGAUGGCGGAAUUCCCCAAGUAGAGGUGAAAUUCGUAGAUAUGGGGAGGAACACCGGUGGCGAAGGCGGCCAUCUGGACGGCUAUUGACGCUGAGACGCGCAAAGCGUGGGAGGCA